rnacentral:lncRNA from 1 species
AGAUUUUCAAUGCUAAUGUUGGCAAUGUUUUUGAUUAAUCAGACUACUCACCCAUUGUAAUUCUUUACAGGUAACCAUUACUGUGUGCAGCCAAAUGGGGAGCCUUGGUAUUAGCAUUGCUGGUGGAAAGGGCUCACCCUCGUGUAAAGACAGUGAUGAGGGGAUCUUGAUUGCACGGCUGCCGAAAGACAGCCCAUCAGACUUGGCUGGAGUACAAGCAGGAGACAGAGUGGCUGAGGCUACCUUCAUUUCAGAACCUGCUGUCCUUGAUGCUGGUCCUACUGAAGCUUCACCCAAGGGCAGCCACUUCCCAACAGUAAAUCACAUCAUAACAAUACCUCGGAUAAUCCUCACGCGCCCUUCCACUUCUGAUGAAGAUACCGACCAGUUGCCCCCAGACCCUGAUGACUUUGAGCCUGAGGAGCCUGGCAGCGCAGGAGGCCAUGCCUAUUCGGACUGUCUGAGCAGCGCUUUUUAUCCUCCCUAAUAAAGUACUUCUCUGGAAAGAGUUAAUGGGUGAUUUUCUCUCCCAUUGUUUGAUUACAUUUAGUGUAGUACUUGAACCACUAUGCCUUAUUUAUAGCGAAAACCAUUAAAUGGAGGACGGAUUUGAGCUGGGGGAGCAGAACCCUGUUUGUUUUUCUUUGCCUUGAACUUUCCUUUGGCCAGCACUUGAAACAAAAUGCACUGGGUAGAGUUAUGUGAAUGUCACCAUGUGUUUCAGUAUCCACUUGUGAGUGUCCUACAGCACCUAAAUGCAAUGGUGAAAAAAGCAGGUGAUUUUUAUUCAGAAGGUACUUUACCCAUUUGGAAACACAAUGAAAACAAUUGUAUAGUUUGUUGGUUUUUUUUAAAUCUUGUGUCCAUGUUUUGUCUAUACAGCUCAUCCUUUCAUCUGCCCCCAUGUUCUUUUGAAUUGUCCCUUUUAAUGUUGUUUUCUAUGAGAAUUAAAAAAAAGAAUUGUGUCUUUAAUAGUGAUGGGGUU